rnacentral:rRNA from 1 species
GACGAACGCUGGCGGCGUGCUUAACACAUGCAAGUCGAACGAGAAGAGAUGAGAAGCUUGCUUCUUAUCAAUUCGAGUGGCAAACGGGUGAGUAACGCGUAAGCAACCUGCCCUUCAGAUGGGGACAACAGCUGGAAACGGCUGCUAAUACCGAAUACGUUCUUUUGUCGCAUGGCAGAGAGAAGAAAGGGAGGCUCUUCGGAGCUUUCGCUGAAGGAGGGGCUUGCGUCUGAUUAGCUAGUUGAGGGUAAGGCCGACCAAGGCGACGAUCAGUAGCCGGUCUGAGAGGAUGAACGGCACAUUGGGACUGAGACACGGCCCAGACUCCUACGGGAGCAGCAGUGGGAAUCUUCGCAAUGGACGAAAGUCUGACGGAGCAA